rnacentral:rRNA from 1 species
CCUACGGGGGGCAGCAGUGAGGAAUAUUGGUCAAUGGACGAGAGUCUGAACCAGCCAAGUAGCGUGAAGGAUGACUGCCCUAUUUGUUGUAAACUUCUUUUAUAAAGGAAUAAAACGCGGCACGUGUGCCUUUUUGCAUGUACUUUAUGAAUAAGGAUCGGCUAACUCCGUGCCAGCAGCCGCGGUAAUACGGAGGAUCCGAGCGUUAUCCGGAUUUAUUGGGUGUAAAGGGAGCGUAGAUGGGUUGUUAAGUCAGUUGUGAAAGUUUGCGGCUCAACCGUAAAAUUGCAAUUGAUACUGGCAGUCGUGAGUACAGUUGAGGUAGGCGGAAUUCGUGGUGUAGCGGUGAAAUGCUUAGAUAUCACGAAGAACCCUGAUUGCGAAGGCAGCUUACUAAACUGUGACUGACAUUGAGGCUCGAAAGUGUGGGUAUCAAACAGGAUUAGAUACCCCGGUAGUC